UACGUAGGGAGCAAGCGUUGUCCGGAAUCAUUGGGCGUAAAGCGCGCGUAGGUGGCCCCAUAAGUCCGCUGUGAAAGUCAAAGGCUCAACCUUUGAAAGCCGGUGGAUACUGUGGGACUAGAGUACGGAAGAGGCGAGCGGAAUUCCUGGUGUAGCGGUGGAAUGCGCAGAUAUCAGGAGGAACACCAAUAGCGAAGGCAGCUCGCUGGGACGUUACUGACACUGAGGCGCGAAAGC
rnacentral:rRNA from 1 species